ensembl:lncRNA
CCAAAACCGGAGGCACCAGAGAGUCCUCCUCCAUCACCGCUGCCACCCGAUGUGCUGUUUGCAAUCACAGGAGGCUGCGUAACGGCUGCGGGAGCGCCCCAUCCUCCUCCUCCUCCUGCCGUGUGCUGGAAAACGGCUGGCUGGAGAAGGUUUGUGUUUCUCUGGGUAGAAGCACCCAUUCCUCCUCCUCCUCCAGCUCCUGCCGUGUGCUGGAGCAUGGCUGGCUGGGUAAGGUUUGUCUGGGUAGAAGCACCCAUUCCUCCUCCUCCUCCAGCUCCUGCCGUGUGCUGGAGCAUGGCUGGCUGGGUAAGGUUUGUGUUUGUCUGGGUAGAAGCACCCAUUCCUCCUCCUCCUCCACCUCCUGCCGUGUGCUGGAACAUGGCUGGCCUGAUAAGGUUUUUGUUUCUCUGGGUAGUGGUACCCAUUCCUCCUCCAGCUCCUCC